AUGCCGAGGCGGCCGGGAUCUAUAGGCGCCUCCACCUUUCUUUGCCAGAGGUGUGAAUCAAUCUUACAGCCAGGCUUCAACUGCACAAUCCGCAUAAAGAACAAAAAAAAGAAAGCAAAGCGGCGCAAGAAGUCAAAUCCUGGCCAAAACAGUGUUGUCUAUGCAUGCCAUUUCUGUGGAGACGGAAACCUGAUACGGGGUAGUGGAAAGGGUAUCGUGAAGGGCCUAUUGUCAUCAAGAAAGCCCUUUAGCACCAGCAUAAUGUUGAAAGGAGUCAACAUGCCAACAGUAACUACUAAAAAGGGGAUUGAGCAUUCUGUAACAGCAGCCUUGCAACUGGAAUCAUCCAGGUUGAAAACAUCCACUAUUGAAAAUGAUAAACAAGGUAAUGUGCCAAAAUCUAAUCUCCCUGGAGAAUCUAAAAUGGAGAAGAAAGGGGGAGUUUUCUCAAUGGUGGAUUGUAGUCUGUUAGGAGAUGCACAUGAAGAUAUCCCACAGAAAAUUGAAGUGGAAAGCACACAUGAUAAAUGUACGAAUGGAAUUGAGCCUGUGGCUUCCAAAAAUAUUACAACAUGUGAACCAGAUGUCACUUCCCAAGCAGAAUUUCUGGUUGGGUCAAACUUUGUUACUCCUCGGAAGAACAAACUGGCGGAAGUGACUGCGCAUAUAGGCUCAGCAGAAACAUUGAAAACUAAAAGUACACUGAACAGCAAAGGACAGAGUUGUGGUUCAGUUGCUAGGAAGACCCCUGGAAGUUAUAGCAAGUCAGCUUUGAAUACCAAAUCUGCACCAGGUGAUUCUACUCAGGCAGCUGGCAGUUCAAGGAAGCGGGCAAGAAAAGGGUGGACUACGCUGAAGCAGAUUGCUGAGAAGGAAGAACUUGAGAGAAAACAGAAGAUGGAUAACUUUGUAAUCCCGUUCUUCAUGCAGUAG
rnacentral:rRNA from 1 species